rnacentral:tRNA from 1 species
GGGGUUGUGGCUCAGUAGUAGAGUACUUGCCUAGCAUGUGAGAGGCACUGGGUUCAAUUCUCAACACCA